rnacentral:lncRNA from 1 species
CCCCGUAUGUCUCAUAAUAAAGCCGCUCUUAUUGUUCUCAAAACUAAUACAGUUUUGGACGGAAUACGGAAUACAGUCAUUGCGAGACAGUGAACUUAUUAGGUAGACACCAUGAAUAAGCUUAUUCUUUUUUCUGCUGGUGUUAGAAGCAACGGGGGACUUCAUGGAACUUGGAGCUUCAUCGAAUGAAAAUCUGGACGCUGAAAUAUACGUGCUUCUCUUUAGAGUACGCAGCAGAAUCGAAGAACAUGAAAGAAAGUUUAUGGUAAAUAAUUCCCCGAAAGUGAAGCGAGUAGCCAAAUGGGAAAAGAUUUUAAAACAGGGCAUUAAAAUCGCUGGCGAUCUGAGGAUGAAGCCGGAGUUGCAGGAUUUCCGAGAUUCCAUCAGUGACAAAGAUGUAGUUCUCGAUAUUAUCCAUGAACUUUACGGUGACUGCACUGAUGUCGCCGCUCAUAAAGUGUUUUAUACCGUGAGACCCGAUAAGAAAUCUAUCGAAGAAAUGCUGGUGACCGUUGGCAUUUGCCCCGACGAGCGGAAAAUUGAAUCAAUACAGAUAAUCCUUCAACCAAUUAAAAAUAAAGGGUUGAAGCUGUGGAACGCGUAAAGUGUGAUAUUCACAAUUUUACAAAGAAACCUCCCUAUUCACUAUGCUAAUAGAAUAUAGGAUUUAUAUUUUCGAUUUUUUUUUUAGUAUUUCGAUUUCUUUUUCUUAAAUUUGUAUUACAUAAUAUAGUGUCAAUCGUGUAAAGAGUUGUGUCGAUAUAGAAAAUUUGAUAUUAUGAUCGGUUGAAAAUUAUGUUUGGCUUUUUCAAGUCUUAGAUAAAUUUGGAAAUUAAUUUUCUUUCGAGUUUUCUUUCUCUAUGUCGUGAAAACCUACUUGUGCUUCUUCGGAACUGUGUGCAUCAUUAAGACAUGAGCCCUAAGAAUCAUAAGAGUAUAUGCGUAACAAGGCUCACGUAAUAAUGCACAUAUUUCAGUUUGGCAGAAAUACGUCCAUUUGUAAUACAGGUGACAUGCUGGAAAACAUUUUAGUGAUGAUCCUCAGAAAAGAGAAUGUGCAAUAAUAAAUGACAGAGAGUCUUAUAUCUCCUUAUAUUUAUACAUAAUAAAAAAGAAAACAAAAACAUAGCUUUUCUGUACAAAACAAUGUAUUAUUAUACACUACAGCAAAAAAUUGCAGUCUUAAAGUUCUGACGCAUAUGCAGUGAAACGAAACAAUAGACUAUCAGUCAUCCAGACCAUACAUAUACUAACAUCAGGUAAAUAACAACUCCUUUAAUAUCUUUGAAGUUUUAACAGGAAACUCUUAAUCACCAAUCAAACACACCAUAGGUUAAAAACUUUAACGGUAAAACAAUGUACUCGUAUAACUUUGGAUACUUAAAACUUUAAAAUCAACGAAUAAACUUUUAUAAAUAAAUAAGCCGGAAACAAUAAUUUCAUUCUAAAAUAUUCUCACAAGUAGUGGUAACAGAAAGUAUGGGAACGAGACACAACAAUAUAACCAUUAGUGGAAAAAGUCUUAAAAGUUUCUCCCUCUAAAUAUAAGUCCCAUAAUUUUUACGAGGAAAAAUGAGGCCUACGUGAUGAUGUAAUGUCUUGAAUAUUUUUGUUUGUUUUUGAAUUUAUUAUAUAUUCUAUCUGUAAUUGUAACAAGGCUGAAUUUUUCACUAUCCUCACAUGCAUUAGCAUCAUAUCUCUUCUGAAACGCAAGUUAAUAGUAAUUAGCUUGUGAUUCAUUUAAACUCUUAAUUAAUCUUCAUUUUAUCAUAUUAGUGCCUUUCGACGUAAUCAAUGGAAGAUGAUACAGUAAGUAAUCCAAAUUUUCCUUCACUUUAACACUCCUUGGCGCUCCAUGGCCGGGCCUUCCCCAAAAGUUUUGCCAAUUUUCAAAAUGUUUCCUAGAGUUCAUAAGAUCUUGAUUUCGUUCCUCCUGAAACAUCAGAGGAAUGCAUAUCAUAUUUUGGAAUUAAUUGUUUUAAGUGUGAUGUAAUUGAAUUUCAUUAUUGGUGAGGCGUGGUAAAAUCAAUUUUCAGAUGAGUAAACUGUAUGCGUAGUCAGGAUUUAACAAGUUGUUCCUCAAGCAUUCUAUGUACAUUCUCAUUCACUUUCAAACUUCCGUGAGGUUGAAAGCUUGGCAUUGGGAGUUUAGAAAUUUUAUUUUAUUAUGACGGACAUAUUCUUCUGCACAUGUAAAUAUCGAAGAAAUA